rnacentral:rRNA from 1 species
GAGUUUGAUCCUGGCUCAGAUUGAACGCUGGCGGCAGGCCUAACACAUGCAAGUCGAGCGGUAGAGAGAAGCUUGCUUCUCUUGAGAGCGGCGGACGGGUGAGUAAUGCCUAGGAAUCUGCCUGGUAGUGGGGGAUAACGCUCGGAAACGGACGCUAAUACCGCAUACGUCCUACGGGAGAAAGCAGGGGACCUUCGGGCCUUGCGCUAUCAGAUGAGCCUAGGUCGGAUUAGCUAGUUGGUGAGGUAAUGGCUCACCAAGGCGACGAUCCGUAACUGGUCUGAGAGGAUGAUCAGUCACACUGGAACUGAGACACGGUCCAGACUCCUACGGGAGGCAGCAGUGGGGAAUAUUGGACAAUGGGCGAAAGCCUGAUCCAGCCACUGCCGCGUGUGUGAAGAAGGUCUUCGGAUUGUAAAGCACUUUAAGUUGGAGGAAGGGCAGUAAAUUAAUACUUUGCUGUUUUGACGUUACCGACAGAAUAAGCA